GAUGAAGAACGUAGCGAAAUGCGAUAAGUAAUGUGAAUUGCAGAAUUCAGUCAAUCAUCGAAUCUUUGAACGCACAUUGCGCCCCUUGGUAUUCCGAGGGGCAUGCCUGUUCGAGCGUCAUUAUAACCCCUCAAGCUCAGCUUGGUGUUGGGGCCUGCUGCACUGGCAGCCCUUAAAAUCAGUGGCGGCGCCAUCUGGCUCUAAGCGUAGUAAUUCUUCUCGCUAUGGAGUCCUGGUGGAUGCUUGCCAUCAACCCCCAAUUUUUCUAUGGUUGACCUCGGAUCAGGUAGGGAUACCCGCUGAACUUAAGCAUAUCAAUAAGCGGAGGA
rnacentral:misc_RNA from 1 species